rnacentral:rRNA from 1 species
CCUACGGGCGGCAGCAGUGGGGAAUAUUGCACAAUGGGGGAAACCCUGAUGCAGCGACGCCGCGUGAGUGAAGAAGUAUUUCGGUACGUAAAGCUCUAUCAGCAGGGAAGAAAAUGACGGUACCUGACUAAGAAGCCGCGGCUAACUACGUUCCAGCAGCCGCGGUAAUACGUAGGGGACAAUCGUUAUCCGGAUUCAUUGGGUUUAAAGGGUGCGCAGGCGGGCCUUUAAGCCGGCGGGGAAAGCGCGGGGCUCAACCCCGGCGAGCCGUCGGAACUGGGGGCCUUGAGUGCGGCGGAGGCAUGCGGAAUGCGCGGUGUAGCGGUGAAAUGCAUAGAUAUCGCGCAGAACCCCGAUUGCGAAGGCAGCGUGCCGUGCCGCCACUGACGCUGAGGCACGAAAGCGCGGGGAUCGAACAGGAUUAGAUACCCUAGUAGUC